AACGCUUUGACCUGAACAUCAUGUCCGUGUAGAAGAAGGGCAUCACCAACAAGUGACUCAUCGAUGAUGGGGUCGAUCACACCAACGAGGACCUGAAUAAGAACUAUGCAUCCGUCUGCUCGGAGACACAAUCAUGAAUGCCAUGGAGGCCUUGGCCCUCAGCCACAAUAACUGCUUCGUAGACAUCUACAUACCCUCUUGGGGGCCCAAGGAUAACAGGCAAGCGAUGGCAGGCCCCAAGCUGCUGAUGGAGACGGCUGUGCAGGUCUGUGUGCAGACAAUGCAACCAACCACUUCUGAAAUGCCGUCGAGCUUGCUUACAUCACUUCCUUUGCACAGUCAGGUGAGAGAUUGCCAAUUUGCAUCACUUCCUUUAUACUUUCAUGCUGAUUUACUUCACUUCCUUUACAAAGUUGAGCCAGCUUGCAUCACUUCCUUCACACAGACGUACCUGCUAGAAUAGUGUCUUUCAUAUGGCCGGGGUCCUUUUCAUCACUUCCUGUACUCCCGCUUGGCCAGACUUCAGAACAGUUUUGUGACAGCUGUAGUAUGAAUAAUAACCUAAAUAUCAGAGAGCAAGAUUUUCGGUCAAAUGUCAGCUCAUAGGGUAGAAGCGACAAGGGAAGCAUAUUUGUAUGGGCUUCUGGCUUCGGCGGCCUGGUAGCCGAUCAUCGUGGGGCGGAUGCCUGCAUCAAUAGCAUCGAAAGCAUGGCCACUGGGAUGGCGAGCCUCAUCAGGGAGUCGGCGCUGUCCGGCUGUGAUGGUCGAGACCCUGACCGGCACCAGAGCCUGGCAAAGCCUGCCGAUGUGAUGGCUACUGAUACGAGCAAAGGAUGCAAAGCCUACUUCACCAGAAAGAACAGCGACGCCACCCAUCGCUGCAGGAGUCCUCACUC